rnacentral:rRNA from 1 species
GAUGAACGCUAGCUACAGGCUUAACACAUGCAAGUCGAGGGGAAACGGCAUUUAGUGCUUGCACCGAAUGGACGUCGACCGGCGCACGGGUGAGUAACGCGUAUCCAACCUUCCCAUAACUAAGGAAUAACCUGCCGAAAGGCAGACUAAUACCUUAUGUAAUCCUUUGAUGGCAUCAGAUAAGGAUAAAAGAUUUAUCGGUUAUGGAUGGGGAUGCGUCUGAUUAGCUUGUUGGCGGGGUAACGGCCCACCAAGGCAACGAUCAGUAGGGGUUCUGAGAGGAAGGUCCCCCACAUUGGAACUGAGACACGGUCCAAACUCCUACGGGAGGCAGCAGUGAGGAAUAUUGGUCAAUGGACGGAAGUCUGAACCAGCCAAGUAGCGUGCAGGAAGACGGCCCUAUGGGUUGUAAACUGCUUUUGUAUGGGGAUAAAGUCAAUCACGUGUGAUUGUUUGCAGGUACCAUACGAAUAAGGACCGGCUAAUUCCGUGCCAGCAGCCGCGGUAAUACGGAAGGUUCGGGCGUUAUCCGGAUUUAUUGGGUUUAAAGGGAGCGUAGGCCGGAGAUUAAGUGUGUUGUGAAAUGUAGACGCUCAACGUCUGACUUGCAGCGCAUACUGGUUUCCUUGAGUACGCACAACGUUGGCGGAAUUCGUCGUGUAGCGGUGAAAUGCUUAGAUAUGACGAAGAACUCCGAUUGCGAAGGCAGCUGACGGGAGCGCAACUGACGCUGAAGCUCGAAGGUGCGGGUAUCGAGCAUG